rnacentral:ncRNA from 1 species
GCUCGUCAACCGGGGUGCCGUCGUCAGACGGCUGAGAUCACACCCAUCGAACCUGCUCCAGUCAGUACUGGCGAAGGGAACGUCGACACGAUGUCACA